rnacentral:rRNA from 1 species
AUUGAACGCUGGCGGCAGGCCUAACACAUGCAAGUCGAGCGGAUGAAGAGAGCUUGCUCUCUGAUUCAGCGGCGGACGGGUGAGUAAUGCCUAGGAAUCUGCCUGGUAGUGGGGGACAACGUUUCGAAAGGAACGCUAAUACCGCAUACGUCCUACGGGAGAAAGUGGGGGAUCUUCGGACCUCACGCUAUCAGAUGAGCCUAGGUACGAUUAGCUAGUUGGUGAGGUAAAGGCUCACCAAGGCGACGAUCGUUAACUGGUCUGAGAGGAUGAUCAGUCACACUGGAACUGAGACACGGUCCAGACUCCUACGGGAGGCAGCAGUGGGGAAUAUUGGACAAUGGGCGAAAGCCUGAUCCAGCCAUGCCGCGUGUGUGAAGAAGGUCUUCGGAUUGUAAAGCACUUUAAGUUGGGAGGAAGGGCAGUAAGUUAAUACCUUGCUGUUUUGACGUUACCAACAGAAUAAGCACCGGCUAACUUCGUGCCAGCAGCCGCAGUAAGAC